rnacentral:rRNA from 1 species
UACGUAGGUGGCAAGCGUUGUCCAGAUUUACUGGGCGUAAAGAGCGUGCAGGCGGUCGUGCAAGUCGCGUGUGAAAGCCCCCGGCUCAACUGGGGAGGGUCACGCGAUACUGCUCGACUUGAAGGCAGGAGAGGGAAGUGGAAUUCCCGGUGUAGUGGUGAAAUGCGUAGAUAUCGGGAGGAACACCAGUGGCGAAGGCGACUUCCUGGCCUGUUCUUGACGCUGAGGCGCGAAAGCUAGGGUAGCAAACGGG